CCCCCUCCUGGAGAGGCAUCUGUGAAGGGCAGGAAUCCCCGAGUAAGUUGGGGCUGGAAGCAUCUGGAAGCUGUUUGCGAUAUGGAUUAGGAGUCAAGCUGCACACAGACACCGCCUCCAGACACACGGCUCGCUCUGCGGAGGGAAAAGACGCGGCUUGUUUACAGUGCCACUUUUCCCUUCGCUUAUCUGUUUUAUUUCAUCCUGGUUCCCCGGCUCCCCCGCCAUUCGUGUGCAAUUAUGUCUGCACAGAUCCGCCAGCUGUAGGGCUUGUUAACCGUGCCCACCCCGCAAGCUGU
rnacentral:lncRNA from 1 species